rnacentral:rRNA from 1 species
UACGGAGGGUGCAAGCGUUAUCCGGAUUCACUGGGUUUAAAGGGUGCGUAGGUGGGCAGGUAAGUCAGUGGUGAAAUCUCCGGGCUUAACCCGGAAACUGCCAUUGAUACUAUUUGUCUUGAAUACCGUGGAGGUCAGCGGAAUAUGUCAUGUAGCGGUGAAAUGCUUAGAUAUGACAUAGAACACCAAUUGCGGAGGCAGCUGGCUACACGAAUAUUGACACUGAUGCACGAAAGCGUGGGGAUCAAACAGG